UUAGCCUCCUUCCCAAAGCCUCACAAGCCUAGAGCCCCGGCUGCUGACAGACAGGCUGGAGCACAGAAUGCCCUCCCUUCUCACCCCACCGAGCCUCACGCAUCCCUCAUGCACCUGACCGGAAACGCACUCGCAAGUCAGGUCUCCCAACUGGACAUACCGGAAGAGACACGACAUCAUAAGGUGUGAGAUACACAGGAGACGAUGAAGGUAAGAAUCCUCAGAACCCAGAGGUGUUGCGGAGCAGACCUCGACCUAUGGCCACAGCAACCUGUGUAUGACCAACUCUGGCAUCUCAAAGUUGGGACAAUAACCCUGGUGACACGUGCAGCUGGGUCCCCUGAGGCCACAACCUUCUCAGGAGUUCAUACUGAGCUUCAAGAAAGUUCUCUUGACUCAAGAGAAGCAAAGUGACCUGUCCCUCCCAGAGCUGGCAUCAGUGCAUGUGGGCACGGAUGGGUCCUUCAUCGCACAAGCUUCCGUAGCCCAUCAGGUGACUGUCCGCACGCGUGCUGAAAUCAAACAUGUCAACUCAGAGACAUCAGC